CAGUCGCCACGGUAAAACGAAGGGGGCUAGCGUUGCUCGGAAUGACUGGGCGUAAAGGGCGCGUAGGCGGCGAUCAAAGUCAGGCGUGAAAUUCCUGGGCUCAACCUGGGGGCUGCGCUUGAUACUUGGUUGCUUGAGUGGGGAAGAGGGUCGUGGAAUUCCCAGUGUAGAGGUGAAAUUCGUAGAUAUUGGGAAGAACACCGGUGGCGAAGGCGGCGACCUGGUCCUUGACUGACGCUGAGGCGCGAAAGCGUGGGGAGCAAACAGGAUUAGAUACCCGCGUAGUCCCUGUCUCUUAUAC
rnacentral:rRNA from 1 species